AUGACUUUGAUCUCCGUCCUCAUCUGGACUGUCCUCUGCUGCUGCUUCACAGAGUCCAGAGGACAGGUCACAGUGACUCAGCCUGGAGCAGUGAGCUCUGCUCUGGGACGCACCGUCACCAUCAGCUGUAGAACCAGUCAGAACGUUAUUAAUUCUGACUCUGUAGAAUGGUAUCAACAGAAACAAGGGAGCUCUCCUAAACUGCUCAUUUACUAUGCUUCCACUCGAGUAUCAGGGAUUCCAGCUCGUUUUACAGGCAGAGGAUCAAACUCUGACUUCACUCUGACCAUCAGUGGAGUCCAGGCUGAAGAUGCAGCAGUUUACUACUGCAUCGGUCGACACUCUAUCAACAGUCAGAAUGUGUUCACACAGUGA